AGCAGCCGCGGUAAUUCCAGCUCCAAUAGCGUGUAUUAAAGUUGUUGCAGUUAAAAAGCUCGUAGUUGAAUUUCGGGGUUAGCAGGUCGGUCGUGCCAUUGGUAUGAACUGGUCUCGCUGAUCCCUCCCUCUUGACGAACUGUGAUGCCAUUAAUUUGGUGUCGCAGGGAAUCAGGACUGUUACUUUGAAAAAAUUAGAGUGUUUAAAGCAGGCUCACGCUUGAAUACAUUAGCAUGGAAUAAUGAAAUAGGACGUUUGAUCCUAUUUUGUUGGCUUCUAGGAUUGACGUAAUGAUUAAUAGGGAUAGUUGGGGGCAUUAGUAUUCAAUUGUCAGAGGUGAAAUUCUUGGAUUUAUUGAAGACUAACUACUGCGAAAGCAUUUGCCAAGGAUGUUUUCAUUAAUCAAGAACGAAAGUUAGGGGAUCGAAGACGAUCAGAUACCGUCGUAGUCUUAACCAUAAACUAUGCCGACUAGGGAUCGGAUGAUGUUAAUUUUUUAAUGACUCAUUCGGCGCCUUA
rnacentral:misc_RNA from 1 species